UACGUAGGGUGCGAGCGUUGAUCCGGAAUUACUGGGCGUAAAGCGUGCGCAGGCGGUUUUGUAAGUCAGAUGUGAAAUCCCCGGGCUCAACCUGGGAACUGCGUUUGUGACUGCACGGCUAGAGUGUGUCAGAGGGGGGUAGAAUUCCACGUGUAGCAGUGAAAUGCGUAGAUAUGUGGAGGAAUACCGAUGGCGAAGGCAGCCCCCUGGGAUAACACUGACGCUCAUGCACGAAAGCGUGGGGAGCAAACAGG
rnacentral:rRNA from 1 species